rnacentral:rRNA from 1 species
AGGACGAACGCUGGCGGCGUGCCUAAUACAUGCAAGUCGAACGCUUUUUCUUUCACCGGAGCUUGCUCCACCGAAAGAAAAGGAGUGGCGAACGGGUGAGUAACACGUGGGUAACCUGCCCAUCAGAAGGGGAUAACACUUGGAAACAGGUGCUAAUACCGUAUAACAAUCGAAACCGCAUGGUUUCGGUUUGAAAGGCGCUUUUGCGUCACUGAUGGAUGGACCCGCGGUGCAUUAGCUAGUUGGUGAGGUAACGGCUCACCAAGGCAACGAUGCAUAGCCGACCUGAGAGGGUGAUCGGCCACAUUGGGACUGAGACACGGCCCAAACUCCUACGGGAGGCAGCAGUAGGGAAUCUUCGGCAAUGGACGCAAGUCUGACCGAGCAACGCCGCGUGAGUGAAGAAGGUUUUCGGAUCGUAAAACUCUGUUGUUAGAGAAGAACAAGGAUGAGAGUAAAAUGUUCAUCCCUUGACGGUAUCUAACCAGAAAGCCACGGCUAACUACGUGCCAGCAGCCGCGGUAAUACGUAGGUGGCAAGCGUUGUCCGGAUUUAUUGGGCGUAAAGCGAGCGCAGGCGGUUUCUUAAGUCUGAUGUGAAAGCCCCCGGCUCAACCGGGGAGGGUCAUUGGAAACUGGGGAACUUGAGUGCAGAAGAGGAGAGUGGAAUUCCAUGUGUAGCGGUGAAAUGCGUAGAUAUAUGGAGGAACACCAGUGGCGAAGGCGGCUCUCUGGUCUGU